rnacentral:rRNA from 1 species
CGGAGGGCGUAGCGUUGUUCGGAAUUACUGGGCGUAAAGACGCACGUAGGCGGACCAGCAAGUUAGGGGUGGAAAUACCCGGGGCGUCAACCCCGGAACCUGCCCUUAAAACCUAGUUGAUCUGGAGUUCGAGAGAGGUGAGUGGAAUUCCGAGUGUAGAGGUGAAAUUACGUAGAUAUUCGGAGGAACACCAGUGGCGAAGGCGGCGUCACUGGCUCGAUACUGACGCUGAGGUGCGAAAGCGUGGGGAGCAAACAGGAUU